rnacentral:rRNA from 1 species
UGGGGAAUAUUGGACAAUGGGCGAAAGCCUGAUCCAGCCAUGCCGCGUGUGUGAAGAAGGCCUUUUGGUUGUAAAGCACUUUAAGUGGGGAGGAAAAGCUUAUGGUUAAUACCCAUAAGCCCUGACGUUACCCACAGAAUAAGCACCGGCUAACUCUGUGCCAGCAGCCGCGGUAAUACAGAGGGUGCAAGCGUUAAUCGGAAUUACUGGGCGUAAAGCGCGCGUAGGUGGUUAUUUAAGUCAGAUGUGAAAGCCCCGGGCUUAACCUGGGAACUGCAUCUGAUACUGGAUAACUAGAGUAGGUGAGAGGGGAGUAGAAUUCCAGGUGUAGCGGUGAAAUGCGUAGAGAUCUGGAGGAAUACCGAUGGCGAAGGCAGCUCCCUGGCAUCAUACUGACACUGAGGUGCGAAAGCGUGGGUAGCAAACAGGAUUAGAUACCCUGGUAGUCCACGCCGUAAACGAUGUCUACCAGUCGUUGGGUCUUUUAAAGACUUAGUGACGCAGUUAACGCAAUAAAGUAGACCGCCUGGGGAGUACGGCCGCAAGGUUA